rnacentral:tRNA from 1 species
UCCCGGGUAGCUCAGUUGGUAGAGCACCUGCCUGUUAAGCAGGCACGCGCGGGUUCGAGUCCUGCCCCGGGAGCCA